rnacentral:rRNA from 1 species
GUGCCUAAUACAUGCAAGUCGAGCGAACAGAUGAGGAGCUUGCUCCUCUGACGUUAGCGGCGGACGGUUGAGUAACACGUGGAUAACCUACCUAUAAGACUGGGAUAACUUCGGGAAACCGGAGCUAAUACCGGAUAAUAUAUUGAACCGCAUGGUUCAAUAGUGAAAGACGGUUUUGCUGUCACUUAUAGAUGGAUCCGCGCCGCAUUAGCUAGUUGGUAAGGUAACGGCUUACCAAGGCAACGAUGCGUAGCCGACCUGAGAGGGUGAUCGGCCACACUGGAACUGAGACACGGUCCAGACUCCUACGGGAGGCAGCAGUAGGGAAUCUUCCGCAAUGGGCGAAAGCCUGACGGAGCAACGCCGCGUGAGUGAUGAAG